AUUGAACGCUGGCGGCAGGCCUAACACAUGCAAGUCGAGCGAGCGGCGGACGGGUGAGUAAUGUCUGGGAAACUGCCUGCUGGAGGGGGAUAACUACUGGAAACGGUAGCUAAUACCGCAUACCAUCAGAUGUGCCCAGAUGGGAUUAGCGAGUAGGUGGGGUAACGGCUCACCUGGGCGACGAUCCCUAGCUGGUCUGAGAGGAUGACCAGCCACACUGGAACUGAGACACGGUCCAGACUCCUACGGGAGGCAGCAGUGGGGAAUAUUGGACAAUGGGCGAAAGCCUGAUGCAGCCAUGCCGCGUGUGUGAAGAAGGCCUUCGGGUUGUAAAGCACUUUCAGCGGGGAGGCGGUAUCUGCAGAAGAAGCACCGGCUAACUCCGUGCCAGCAGCCGCGGUAAUAC
rnacentral:rRNA from 1 species